GAUGAAGAACGCAGCGAAAUGCGAUACGUAAUGUGAAUUGCAGAAUUCAGUGAAUCAUCGAGUCUUUGAACGCACAUUGCGCCCCCUGGUAUUCCGGGGGGCAUGCCUGUCCGAGCGUCAUUGCUGCCCUCAAGCCCGGCUUGUGUGUUGGGUCUCGUCCCCCUUCCCGGGGGACGGGCCCGAAAGGCAGCGGCGGCACCGCGUCCGGUCCUCGAGCGUAUGGGGCUUUGUCACCCGCUCUGUAGGCCCGGCCGGCGCUUGCCGAUCAACCAAAACUUUUUUCCAGGUUGACCUCGGAUCAGGUAGGGAUACCCGCUGAACUUAAGCAUAUCAAUAAGCGGAGGA
rnacentral:misc_RNA from 1 species